UACGGGGGGGGCAAGCGUUGUUCGGAAUUACUGGGCGUAGAGGGUCUGUAGGUGGCUUGCUAAGUCAGACGUGAAAUCCCUCAGCUUAACUGGGGAACUGCGUCUGAGACUGGCGAGCUUGAGGGCAGGAGAGGAACGCGGAAUUCCAGGUGUAGCGGUGAAAUGCGUAGAUAUCUGGAGGAACACCGGUGGCGAAGGCGGCGUUCUGGACUGCAUCUGACACUGAAAGACGAAAGCCAGGGGAGCAAACGGG
rnacentral:rRNA from 1 species